CACGAACUGCGCGAACGUUAUUCGGAAUCACUGGGCUUAAAGAGUUCGUAGGCGGUCUGAUUAGUCGGGUGUGAAAUCCCUCGGCCUAACCGAGGAACUGCGCCCGAUACUGCCAGACUAGAGGGAGAUAGGGGUGAGCGGAACUGAUGGUGGAGCGGUGAAAUGCGUUGAUAUCAUCAGGAACACCGGUGGCGAAGGCGGCUCACUGGAUCUCUUCUAACGCUGAGGAACGAAAGCUAGGGGAGCGAACGGGAUUAGAUACCCCAGUA
rnacentral:rRNA from 1 species